CUGAGCUGUGCCGGGGUAUGGAGACUGGGGCAGAGAGCGUUCUCCUCUGCUGAAUGGAAAUGCCCCUGACCUUACUGUUAAGUGAAUUGUCUCGUUAGACUGACCUCACACUUGGCAUUUGGAAAAUGCUGCUGUUAGAAAUACAUACAGGGGCUCAUCUGGAAGACUUUUGCUAUCACCUGAGAUACAAGGGCACCGGAGUCGCCACUGUGCAUCUGGAAACAGGACGACAACAUCACAAUACUCAACCUUUUCAGUAGAAUGGGAGCUUCCUAAUAAAAGCAACACAUGCAGGAGAGAACUGGGCUGCCCAUUGCAGAGGCUCCAGAUGUGGAGACAUGAACUUUUAAUUAAUAAUAAAAUGCAAUGAAUGAUAAAAGGGCCUGUCCGCUAGAGCUGACUGGAAAAGGUUUUGCAUGACUGGGCCCUCGUCAAAUUAGAAAGGAACAAUAUGUUUUCACGUUAUUAGGACAUUAAAUCAAAGCCCAUGUUGUGAGCACCAGCAUACCCCAUCUCGAAGGGACAUGUGUCCAAUUAAAACUCAAGCAGUAAAAAAACCAUUUUGUCAGUUGCCGCGUCUGCGGAGUGUCCCCUCUUUUAAAAGGCUGGCACGGUGUUGUCGUUCCGCGUGGCAAUAGAGCAUUGCUUCGAGAUGUCAAGACGGAUUAUGGAUCCUGGGACACAUUUUCUGAGGUGUGGCCUCCCUUCCGGUGAUUCUGCACCAGCAUUUCCAUCAUGUGUGCAUGUAACUACCCACAUAGGUGAACAUUUGAUGGGUGCAAAGGGGCUGGUGGGCUCUUCUCAGUUGGAAGUAUAGGCCUAUGUCUGCCUAAGCACUCUUGUAAAUGUGCAGUCUGUUCACAGCACACACAAUGUGGUCCAGCCAUUGGCUUUAUGCUCCAGAGAAGACAUCAGGGUGGAGAGUGGCCUAACAGAUACUGUGACUUGCAUUGACAUGGGCCUGGUUUUUGCACUUUGGCCUCCACUGGUGCAUGCUCUACAGGGGACAAAUACUAGCACAUGCAGGGGCUAGGUUCUGCUACCUGGAGACAGGUGUUUUGUGGGAGAGAAUUCCAUCCCCUGCACAUGCCUUGUUAGAACCUUCUAUGUGCACAGGUGGGCAUUGGCGGAACGAAAUGUGUGCAAAUUGCACACGUGGAAGCUGGGUUUAAGCCACAAAAGAAAUCAGGGGCUUUGAGAUCCUUGGAGGAAAAGUGCUUGGUGCCAAAAAUAAGGUUCUGUAUAGAGGUAAAAUAGAUGUAAAACUAUUAGGGGGAAACAAAUGAUCUGGAUAUAAAAUAACUGUUGCAAUUGUUGGGUUGGUCUCAGCUGUGGUGUCCAGGACUGCAUGGAAAUGCAGGCUCCCCGGGCCUUCACUCUUAGGAGUCGUCCCUCUAGCCUGCUUAGGGAGCCAAGGGUGCUCAGCAGCACCUAGCAGGAUUGAGCCCUCAGGUCCUGACCAGCCAGUGACCUGUGUGGGCAAACCCUUUGGACCAUGCAUAGCCUUCCUGCCUGGGGUGGGACUCUGUGUGGGGGAAAAGGCCUUCACUGGAGGGAACAUUGCAGAACUGGGGGCUUAGGCUUAUACCCAGGCACAUUCACUACAACAGCCCUAGAAGCUAGCCUGAGCCCGCAGCUCUGCAAAGCGCUUCAGCAGGUGCCCAAGUUAAAGCACAGGUGUCAAUGAAGUUAUGCGCAAGCUUAAGCCCUUUUCUGGAAAGGGUCCUGAUCAGGAGCUCAGGAUCUGGGGAUAACUUUGAAAGAGGCUUGGAAAGAUUAGAUGAGUAUCGGUCAAUGUCAGUAAAUGUGGAUUCACACAAACCGAUGUAAAAAUAUUACUGCUCAAUAACACUAGAAAUGUACAGCUAGGCCGUGUGAGAAUAACACCGCUUGAGAACUUAGUCUAAGGAUAUAGACUUGGUAUAUUUUGGCACGCCAUGUUGACAAUUGGUGUUUUAAUGGUUACAAAGCUUUAACUUUUUGAAUCUCAACGUGUACUGGCAUUAAAUCUUC